CCCUGCCGGAUCCGCCCCUCCCCAAUUCUUCGCGGCCAAGAAGCGGAGGCCCUCGUCGCAGCAUGGGAGCCCCGGGGCCGCCAAGGGGUCCCUGGUCCGGUCCCCUCCCGCCGUGGCGGCGGUGGCGGGGUCGUCGUCGGCCCUGGCCGGCUCCCCCUCAGGCGCCCGGAGCGAGCUGCACGCGGAGCCCCACGGCCUCCGCCUCGAGGCGGACGACGCGGGAAGCGAGUGCGAUGGAGGUGAUCUUGCGCACCUCCAUCGUCCACCAGCUGCUCGAGAUGGAGUCCGUGGCCGGCGAGAAGACCAGCAGCGUGGCGGACAGGCCCGUCGUAAGCCAUGUAUGAGCAGGGUGUUGGCCGCUCGUCCUCUGUCCCGAGUUUAGGUUGCCCGUAUGAGAAAAGAGAGAAGAGGAUUAAUCUUCCUCUGCCAGAUCUGAGAAAAAAGAGAAAAGGAUGAAUCUUGAGGAAGAGCUUGGUGAAGAACAAGGUUCGAGGAUGUAAAUCUAUCUGAUAUGUUGUUGAUGGGGAUUAAGAUUAUUGUAUUGACAUAUCUGAAAGUAUUCUACUGACAUAUCUGAGAAUUUUAAUGAUCUACCAGCAACUAGGUGUUAAGCUUCAGGCUGGGUGCAUGUUUCUUUUUGUCGGAAACAAAACAGAUUCUUUUAUAACUGAGGUUGUAUUUAACUGCAUGCACUUACUUUAGCUUAGGGGACAGGGGUUCAUCUGUCCGGUAGCACAUCAUUGGAGAAAAAUGACAUGAUCAAAAGGAAAUAGAUUUCAGUGCAGGCUCGUGCACCUGUUUUCCUUUUCCCCUUCGAUGGGGUCGUUCAGUUGAGGUGAAGCAAGCAAGCACCUCCCCGUGCCUUGCAUACCAAGGAGAGAGCGAGCCAUUGCAGAGGAGAGGGGAUACGAGGGUGGGCAGAGGUCAGGCAUUGCUAACAGAUUUGCGGCGGAGUGGGAAGCCGGCGCCUCAUCACUGGCUCCUGUUUGGCAUCGGCAAAGAGAAAGCUGCCGAGGAUGUGUUGCUCUAUGCACUGCUGUCGAAGUACAUCCUUGCUAUGAUGUAUUUUUCAGUGGCUUUCUCCAUUAGAAUGUUUCUCGUCAACGACCAUAUCAACCUGUCUGGUGUUCGCACAUGUCAUUUUGGUUGAGUUUACUGCCAUUCCGCCUCUUCCUCGUGAUGGUAUAGGAGUACACACUAAUUCGAUAAAUAAGAGGCGAAGUUGCCAACGCCUGAGAUAGUGGUUCCUACCUCUGGCCUUCGCACCUUUAGUUCCGCAAGUAGUUCAGCAACUCAAAUGAUCAUUUUGUAUAGAUGUAUAACGGCAUGCCCGUGAUUGCUCUGUAAAAACCCGGCCUAGGAUAUAUGAAUACUUCCAUAUAAACAUAUGCCUCUUCUAUUUUGUAGCUUCUCAUUAGCUCGAGGCAGAGAUGGCGGAGCUCGGGCGAGCUCGAGACUAUGGAUCCAGGGCUUGAGUGCUCACGGGAUGGAGGCAGGGGAGGGCGCCCUACGGGAAGUGAUUUAUGUGCUCCUUGAUCUGGCUUUUUAUAACUGAUGACAUCUUACAUUGUUGUCUUUUACCGAUUAACUGGUUAACUCUUUUCCUAAAUGGUCUUAGAUUUCUGCUUUCUAUUUGCGCCAGUUUCUUUUUACAAGAGAUGAGAUCUUACACAAUAUAUUUUUGCCUUGGUUGAUCUAAUUAAGAUUUUCCUUCAGCGCGUGCAUAUGAUGUGAAUAUAAAGCUAUUUGGAAGAACGUAUCCAUGGGAGAAAAAAUAUUAUCAUGUAUUUUGUCUGUCAUUUUGCUUGUGUUGAUGUAAUUUAUUGAGCUUUUUCACACGUCAUGAUAUUAUGCCUUAAUUUCUACUAGGCUGCUUUUACAUUUAAAAUUCAUUGUACAAACAUUAUUUACCUAAUUUAUGGAAACAAUAAAUUUGUAGCUUAGGUCAACUAGGAGAUGAUGUAAACCAAGUCACUCACCAGUUUAAGAUGGUAUGUUCUGAACUUUCAUUGCUUUAUGAAUGGACAAACGAUGUUAGAUAUGCAUGCUACUACAGUUUAGCCAUUUUUCAGUUUUCUACAUGAGCCACAGUGCCGAAGCCUUUGGACAGGCACUUUGUGGUAGAAUGUGUCAAACAUAGGUCUGUUUGCUAGAAUAUGUGUUGUGCCGAUGCUGCAACUAGCAUACGCAAAAUCACUUUGCUAUAUAUUUUUCAUAAUGCUACAUUCCAUCAAUUAACUGACUUCUUAUUGUUUUGAAUCUACUUACAUAGGUGUUUACAGAUUUA